rnacentral:lncRNA from 1 species
GGGGCCGGUUGUAUCAAGCCCGUUUAGCUUAAACGGUGGAUAAGUCAAAAUUAAAUAACACUCUUAUGUCUUUCGUGAAUCAGUCAACUUAAAUAUUCUGCACUGAAUAUAUAGUUGUAAACAUUAUCGUUCUAUUAAGGUUCAAAACUUUUAGUUUGGUUGUUUAAUGAAUCUAUAGACUUGCUUUCUAUUUUGAGCUUAACCACCGUUUAAGCUAAACGGGCUUGAUACAACCGGCCCCAGAACAC